rnacentral:rRNA from 1 species
GACGAACGCUGGCGGCGUGCCUAAUACAUGCAAGUCGAGCGGAUCUUCAUUAGCUUGCUUUUGAAGAUCAGCGGCGGACGGGUGAGUAACACGUGGGCAACCUGCCUGUAAGACUGGGAUAACUUCGGGAAACCGGAGCUAAUACCGGAUAAUCCUUUUCCUCUCAUGAGGAAAAGUUGAAAGACGGUUUCGGCUGUCACUUACAGAUGGGCCCGCGGCGCAUUAGCUAGUUGGUGAGGUAACGGCUCACCAAGGCGACGAUGCGUAGCCGACCGGGGAGGGUGAUCGGCCACACGGGGACUGAGACACGGCCCAGACUCCUACGGGAGGCAGCAGUAGGGAAUCUUCCGCAAUGGACGAAAGUCCGACGGAGCAACGCCGCGUGAGCGAUGAAGGCCUUCGGGUCGUAAAGCUCUGUUGUCAGGGAAGAACAAGUACCGGAGUAACUGCCGGUACCUUGACGGUACCUGACCAGAAAGCCACGGCUAACUACGUGCCAGCCGCCGCAGUAAUAC